ACUCAAAUGAAUAGACGGGGAGACACACAACUAGUGGAGCAUGUGGUUUAAUUCGAUACAAACCGAAGCACCUCACCAGGGUUCGACAUGUACAUGAUCAUCCGAUGAAAGUCGGACUUCCGCAAGGACUAGUACAAAGCUGUUGCAUGGCUGUCGUCAGUUCGUUCUGUGAAGAGUGCCCUUAAGUGGGACAACGAACGCAACCUUCGUCGUAAGUUAGAAAUGUCUUACGAGACCGCCCUUUCUCUUGAAGGGGAGGAAGAAGAAGCAGACGUCAAGUCAGCAUGACGCCUAUGCCCUGGGCUACACACAUGCUACAAUGAGACGUACAGAGGGCUGCAAGACCGUAAGGUCAAGCUAAUCCCAAAAAACGUCUCUCAGUGGGGAUUGAAGUCUGAAACUCGACUUCAUGAACAUGGAAUUAGUAGUAAACGCAGAUCAGCUAUGCUGCGUUGAAUACGUUCUUGUCUCUUGCACACACCGCCCGU
rnacentral:rRNA from 1 species